rnacentral:rRNA from 1 species
UACGAAAGGUGCAAGCGUUACUCGGAAUCACUGGGCGUAAAGCGCACGUAGGCGGACUGGUAGGUCGAUUGUGAAAUACCUGGGCUCAACCCGGGAACUGCAGUUGAAACCGUCAGUCUUGAAUACCUGAGAGGGUGGGAGAAUACCUGGUGGAGAAGUGAAAUUCGUAGAGAUCAGGUGGAAUACCGGAGGCGAAGGCGCCUGCCUGGCAGUGUAUUGACGCUGAGGUGCGAAAGUGCGGGGAGCAAACAGG